ACUAUUUUGGCAGAAAUAUAUGCAUUAAAUUUAGAAUUUAAUUAUGUAAUAUAAUUAUUACAAGUAGUA
rnacentral:tRNA from 1 species